rnacentral:lncRNA from 1 species
GGAGAGCAGCUGCGGGAGGAGAGGUGCAGCUAGAGGGUGAGAGGUGGGAAGCAGGGAAGCCCAGCAAGAGGUCACCAGAGGAAGCACAAACCUGAGAAUCUUGGCACUCAGAAGGUAGGGGGUUGUGGCAAGAUUUGAGAGGCACUGCAAAGUUGGGGGGACACAAUGAUGGAGUCCCUGCACUUAGGGGAAUGGGGCUGGAGUCACUGCUUGGAUAUUACAGGGCAGGCACGCCAGUUAGACAGCCUGAAGGAAGGAGUGGAUGGAUUUCUCUUCUUGGAGACCUUCGGCAACAUUUGGACGAGGCACAGCCUGGGUAAUGAGGAAGUCCCUGCAACACAGCUCACUGCCUUCAAGAUUUCCAGAUGCACAGAGAAGAGGACUGUGUUUCUCAAAACAGAGAUGGAGGUGACAACCCUAGGCCUAUGCCUCAUCCCCAGCAGGUGACCAAUGGAGGAAAAUAAAACAGAACUUCAACAUGCUCUCCGAUGAGCUUGAACCCCUGGUACUGGUUGCUCUGAGAAGCCACAGGUUUCCUUCCUUGGACAAUUUCAGAGCCCAUCAAUAUGGUUUAUGGAAAGGAAGUGGCAAUGAGAGAGACCCUUGCUUCUCCUGGCAGCUCUUCUCCCUUGAGAAAGCUCCUCAACUUCUCCUGAGCUUGGUUUCAGAAGUGAUUGUUCAUCCUCUCCCAUUGGGAGUUCUUCUGGGAUGGGCUCUGUAUAUUCCUCCAGCAGCAGGGGGAUGGAUGAGAUGACCUUUUCAGGUCACUCAGGAGAUCCUCCAGUUUCUCAGGAUGAUCUAAGCAUCUCCCUUUCCUUUAGAAGCUGUCAGAGCUAACUAAGCGUGGGUGUGGGCUCCUCAGCAGCUACACCACCUCCCCUCCAAUAUUUAAAAGAUCUUUCCUGGUUCUUAGGGUCUCCUAAUCACAGCUCUUUUUUUCUGAGCUCUGCCUGAAAGGCCACAUCCGUUUUUUCCCUGAAAGCUGGCUAGGUCCUCUGGGCUAAACACG